rnacentral:tRNA from 3 species
GCUGGCAUAGCUCAACUGGCAGAGCAGCUGAUUUGUAAUCAGCAGGUUGCAGGUUCGAUUCCUGUUGCCAGCUCCA